UACGUAGGCAGCAAGCGUUGUUCGGAAUUACUGGGCGUAAAGAGUGUGUAGGCGGUGCUCUAAGUUCGGUGUGAAAUCUCCCGGCUCAACUGGGAGGGUGCGCCGGAAACUGGGGGUGCUGGAGCGCGGGGAGAGGAAAGCGGAAUUCCUGGUGUAGCGGUGAAAUGCGUAGAUAUCGGAAGGAACACCAGUGGCGAAAGCGGCUUCCUGGUCCAGCACCGACGUCAGGCACGAAAGCGUGGGGAGCAAACAGGG
rnacentral:rRNA from 1 species